rnacentral:rRNA from 1 species
AUGUGUAUUCCCAAGAAAAAUGGUGGCAUGGGGCUCAGAGACCUACACACAUUUAAUCUAGCUAUGCUUGCUAAGCAAAGUUGGAGAUUGAUAUCAAAUCCCGAAACUCUGUGUGCUCGUGUGCUACGAGCUAAGUAUUACCCUGAUGGGAAUCUAUUAAAGGCGGGUCCUAAGAAGGGAUAUUCAUUUACUUGGCAAAGCAUUAUAACAGGUUUACAAACUUUCAAGAGAGAGUAUAUCUGGAGAGUGGGUUCAAGAAGUCUAAUCAAUAUUUGGGAAGACCACUGGAUCCCUGGUAGCCCAUCCAGGAAGGUGAUUUCAAGGAGGGGCAUGUGUCUUCUGCAAACGGUAAAUGAAUUGAUUAAUCCAUGGACAGGAAGUUGGGAUGAAGUGUUGAUUCGAGAAAAUUUUAUCUCAAUGGAUGCUGAACGAAUCUUGAAGAGCUCGUUGAGCACACAUUUAACUAAGGACUUUAUUGCCGGGCACAAGACUCGGUCGUUCUCAUUUUCAGUCCGGUCUGCAUACUAUACGGAGUGGGAGCACCAGUUUGGAGCGCGUAUAAGAAGAUGUGAUGAUGGACCAUCUACUUUAAACCCAGUUUGGGAGAUUCUUUGGAAGCUACAAGUGCCCAGCAAAAUUAAAAUCUUUGGCUGAGAGGCGUUGCAUGGAAUUAUUCCGGGUAUGUCUGUUCUGGAAAACCGUCACAUUCCAGUCUCUACGCUCUGUCCGAUCUGUAAAAGGGGUGCAGAAGACCUGAAGCACCUCAUGUUUACUUGUGAUCAUGCAAAAGAAGUUUGGCUGUCCUUGGGCCUUUAGGAGACGAUU